rnacentral:rRNA from 1 species
GGUCUAAUACCGGAUACCACUCCUGCCCGCAUGGGUGGGGGUUGAAAGCUCCGGCGGUGAAGGAUGAGCCCGCGGCCUAUCAGCUUGUUGGUGGGGUAAUGGCCCACCAAGGCGACGACGGGUAGCCGGCCUGAGAGGGCGACCGGCCACACUGGGACUGAGACACGGCCCAGACUCCUACGGGAGGCAGCAGUGGGGAAUAUUGCACAAUGGGCGAAAGCCUGAUGCAGCGACGCCGCGUGAGGGAUGACGGCCUUCGGGUUGUAAACCUCUUUCAGCAGGGAAGAAGCGAAAGUGACGGUACCUGCAGAAGAAGCGCCGGCUAACUACGUGCCAGCAGCCGCGGUAAUACGUAGGGCGCAAGCGUUGUCCGGAAUUAUUGGGCGUAAAGAGCUCGUAGGCGGCUUGUCACGUCGGAUGUGAAAGCCCGAGGCUUAACCUCGGGUCUGCAUUCGAUACGGGCUAGCUAGAGUGUGGUAUGGGAGAUCGGAAUUCCUGGUGUAGCGGUGAAAUGCGCAGAUAUCAGGAGGAACACCGGUGGCGAAGGCGGAUCUCUGGGCCAUUACUGACGCUGAGGAGCGAAAGCGUGGGGAGCGAACAGGA